rnacentral:rRNA from 1 species
ACUGAACGCUGGCGGCAGGCCUAACACAUGCAAGUCGAACGGUAACAGGGAUCAGCUUGCUGAUUCGCUGACGAGUGGCGGACGGGUGAGUAAUGUCUGGGAAACUGCCUGAUGGAGGGGGAUAACUACUGGAAACGGUAGCUAAUACCGCAUAACGUCGCAAGACCAAAGAGGGGGACCUUCGGGCCUCUUGCCAUCGGAUGUGCCCAGAUGGGAUUAGCUAGUAGGUGGGGUAACGGCUCACCUAGGCGACGAUCCCUAGCUGGUCUGAGAGGAUGACCAGCCACACUGGAACUGAGACACGGUCCAGACUCCUACGGGAGGCAGCAGUGGGGAAUAUUGCACAAUGGGCGCAAGCCUGAUGCAGCCAUGCCGCGUGUAUGAAGAAGGCCUUCGGGUUGUAAAGUACUUUCAGCGGGGAGGAAGGGAGUAAAGUUAAUACCUUUGCUCAUUGACGUUACCCGCAGAAGAAGCACCGGCUAACUCCGUG